ensembl:lncRNA
GGCUGAGCGUCGACUCGGUGCUACUGCUGCUUCUCCCGUGUCAACAAAGUAUCGUACAAGCUCAGUGUGUGUGUGUGAGAGAGUGUGUGUGAGAGUGUGUGUGAGUGUGACACAAUGGAUACACGUUUCUACCUCAACUGGGAUUUAUAAGGAAGGAAGAAACAGGACUUUACUCUGUUUAUCGACUUAAUAUAAGACCGUGUAGUCGUUCUUGUGUUGUUUAAUCAGGUUUAUAACAGGUUUUGUACGCCUCACGAGCUCACCUUGUUUAUGCUAGUAAGCUUUGUUUUACUACUUGAUUUGGUUUUGUGUCCAUUUUAAUCCACUUCCGUGAAGUUUAUCUACCUUGUUGUGUUUUUGGAGGUUGAUUUGUGACACUAUUUUAUUGUAUGUGUUGAGAUUAUACGUCAUAACGCGUAAUAACACACUAAUGACCUACAUGUUACGCUCGAGCUUGAGUAACUCCGCGUCUAUUUCCUGUUUAUUUUCAUUAUUA